rnacentral:tRNA from 1 species
UCGUGCGUAGCGCAGAGGCGGACGCGCCGGCCUGGCAGGUCGGAGGACGCCGGUUCGAAUCCGGCCGUACGAG